CUGUCAGGGCGAAACUAUGUAACUAGGGACCAAACUCAUUCCGUGGGUCACACACAAAAGCAGCUGGAAAACUCCCCUCUCAAUUGUUUGACACAAUAGUGUUUUUGUACGUAUGUGUGUGGUGUUUUUUUUUUUUUUUUUUUUUCUAACGUGGUAUUGAAAUUGUAGCAGCCAAUCUGCCGUAGUCGUCGUCUAAAGUGUUAGCGACUGAUAGCUUGACCUGUGCAAUGUAUACACACAUACAUACGUACAAUCAUAUCUACACUCACAAAUUCUCUCUCACACGUACACGCACCCAAAUACCAGUGCACAAACAUAACCACACACACACACACUACACACACACACACACACACACACACACACACACACACACACACACACACACACACACACACACACACACACACACACAUAAGCCCAGCAGGAAAGGGGGGUGGAGGGUGGGGGCUCCAAAACAAAGCAAGCAACCCUCCCGUGGCUUCCCUCUAAGAAUAGAACAAAAUAAGGGAAAAUUGGGAUGGGGGGGGGGAGUGAGAAUUCCUCUUGGAUUUUAAAAGAAAGACUUUUUUUAAAAGAAAGAAGAAGAAAAAAAACUGCAGCUGUUGACAAAAAAAAGUAUUUAAAUGCUGUUCUAUGCUGUAAAUCACUAAGACCGUUCGUUUGUCCGAUUUCAGUCUUAAUUUUAAUUUUUGUCAGUGUUGUAUACUGUGAAUAUAUCCAUGAAGUUAUCAGUAUUUAAUUUUUUACCCUCCCAAUGAAACGGAGGAUGCAAUACAUUUUUUAAAAAUGAUACAUUGUAAUGUUAUCUUUAAUCAAUACAUUUUAAAAAAGAGAGAGAAAGAGCCUCAUCUUUAGCCUUUGUGCACUGUGGUAAUUUGUAAUUCUCUAGUCUUUGUUUUGAUUUUACCUUUUCACGUUAUACAGAGACAAACUGACAACAUGUCACCAGUAUCUCUCUAUGAACAAUGAUCUCAAAAGUGUUCUGGAAAGAUGUAUCCUGUUUAUGCAUUCAUGUUUAUAGCAAGAAGGUUCACAUUGAGAAGACUUGGGAAAAGUUGAUACAGUGGCAAAGAAUGAGUGACAUGUUACAGUGGGUCGACAUUAAGGAGUGUCUAGAUGGUUUCCUUAUGGAACUUUUGUUUUUCUGUGUAACUCCAGUUGGCAUAGCAAUAGACUUCUGACACUAUAUCUAAGUGCAAGUGUUUUACUUGUUUCAGUUCAGACUGGAAGAAGUUGAACAGGUGACUUGAUCAGUAUUCUGUAUUUGCUCAUGAUGGCAGCCCUCUGCUGUUCAAAUGUAUCACUACUGCCCUCUAAUGCUCAGUUAGCUUCAGUGCAGUCCAGACCGUCUUCUGUUGCUACAAAUACCACACACAUUGCAAGCCUGUUUUUCAUCCAUUGCUUUUGUUUUGUUUUUAACCUUAGCCAUGAAUUACUGUGUACUGUGUGCUUUGACCUGCUGUAACUCCUUGUGCAUCUUCAGUUAGCCUUUGCAUGUAUACGAUAAGUCAUACACACCAAUACACUGUUUUAUAAAUCCGUGAUGGAUCAACCACUCAUAUACUUGUAUGAAAGAAAAGCUCAAAAACAAAUAGAUUCAUCCUGCCCCUCCACCUCAUGUCUCCAAUAACAUGUCUUCCAUUGUCCCUCUUGGCAGUGUGCCGGUGCUCGACGGCCGGUAACGUGAUCGCCGUCUGUCAGUGGAUGUGUUCGGUGUUCAGAGUGUAAAUAGACGUUUGUUAAUAAAAAGUGUACUUUCCAUCA